UACGGAGGGGCUAGCGUUGUUCGGAAUUACUGGGCGUAAAGCGCGCGUAGGCGGCUUUGUAAGUUAGAGGUGAAAGCCCGGAGCUCAACUCCGGAACUGCCUUUAAGACUGCAUCGCUAGAAUUGUGGAGAGGUAAGUGGAAUUCCGGAGUGUAGAGGUGAAAUUCGUAGAUAUUCGGAAGAACACCAGUGGCGAAGGCGACUUACUGGACACAUAUUGACGCUGAGGUGCGAAAGCGUGGGGAGCAAACAGG
rnacentral:rRNA from 1 species